rnacentral:rRNA from 1 species
AGACCCGAAACCCGGUGAUCUAGCCAUGGGCAGGUUGAAGGUUGGGUAACACUAACUGGAGGACCGAACCGACUAAUGUUGAAAAAUUAGCGGAUGACCUGUGGCUGGGGGUGAAAGGCCAAUCAAACCGGGAGAUAGCUGGUUCUCCCCGAAAGCUAUUUAGGUAGCGCCUCGUGAAUUCAUCUCCGGGGGUAGAGCACUGUUUCGGCUAGGGGGCCAUCCCGGCUUACCAACCCGAUGCAAACUGCGAAUACCGGAGAAUGUUAUCACGGGAGACACACGGCGGGUGCUAACGUCCGUCGUGAAGAGGGAAACAACCCAGACCGCCAGCUAAGGUCCCAAAGUCAUGGUUAAGUGGGAAACGAUGUGGGAAGGCCCAGACAGCCAGGAUGUUGGCUUAGAAGCAGCCAUCAUUUAAAGAAAGCGUAAUAGCUCACUGGUCGAGUCGGCCUGCGCGGAAGAUGUAACGGGGCUAAACCAUGCACCGAAGCUGCGGCAGCGACGCUGAUGCGUUGUUGGGUAGGGGAGCGUUCUGUAAGCCUGCGAAGGUGGCCUGUGAGGGUU